rnacentral:lncRNA from 1 species
GGGGGUCCUCCUCCUCCUCCUCCUCCCCCCUCCACCCACCCCCCUCCCUCCUCCUCCUCCUCCGCAAAAACUUAUCUAUGCAUCCUGCCUUGACUCCCGCCUUUUACACUGGGGAUGAGAAACUUGGGAUAAGUCUAACUGGGGAUCCCAUACCCGACAAUACCUCCACUUGUUUACUCUGCAAUGUUCCCUGGCUGGGAACAAAGGCAGGAAGCAGGAGCUGGAAACUCAAUCCAGGUUUCCCACUAGGUGGCGGGACCAAAUUAUUGGAGCCAUCACCACUGCCUCCUGGGGUCUGGAAGUGGAAUCAGGAGGCAGAGUCACUUUCGUAGUUGAAUGGUCAGCAGUGAUUCAGUGAGACAUCCACACAGUGGUGAAAGAGUCCAAGUGUACAGACAGUGGUCCCCUUCCACCACUCUCAGCGUUUUCAUGGAGGGAGAAGAGAAAGCUGCCCAGAAUCCUCCUAUUUUGAAAAUCAGGUCGUAAACUCCAUGUUCCACAAGCAUAACUCACGGUUGGGCCACCGUCUUUCCUGCUGGAUACGAACGAGGAAGGAUGUCACCCUAAGAAAUGCUGACCCAGCCCCAGGGAAGCAGAAGGGAGACAGGCAGACGUUGUCCUGUGAACAGUACUAGCCCCGGGGUAAGCUUUACCUGAAUUUACACUACCUUGGGGUGCCUCGGUGAUAGAAGUCACUAACGUCUCCUUAUUGUUUAAGAUGUUUUAGAGUCAGGUUUCCUCUUAUAAAAUGAAGUGCCCUAACACAGAAAUAAUGAACAGAAUGGAGGCUUGCAAAUACAGAUCCAAAAAUACGGAACUGGCUGAACAGGGAAAGUGGGGAAGUGCGGACUGUCCUGCUCUGGGAAGCUGACAGUCUGUUGGGCAGGAACUGUGACCUACGCUGUUUGGGACUCGGACCCUGAAUAUAUUAACGUGGAGCACUGGGGACUUGGUAGGAAAAAAAAUCCAGGCUGUUAACAGCUGCUUGCUUCAGCCCUCAGUAAAUCUCCAGGGGGAAAAAAAAAAAAAAGACUGCUUUGGACAGUCAGCUUGUAAACAAAGAAGGAAGAAAGAAAUACAACAUUUCUAAAAGAGGCCCUUUCCAAACUUCAUCAAUUUCUUCAAAUUUCAUUUCCAUUUAAUUUUUUUUCAGGUAAAAUUAAUUAAU